UGGGGAAUCUUGGACAAUGGGCGCAAGCCUGAUCCAGCCAUGCCGCGUGAGUGAAGAAGGCCUUCGGGUUGUAAAGCUCUUUUAUCAGGGACGAUAAUGACGGUACCUGGAGAAUAAGCCCCGGCAAACUUCGUGCCAGCAGCCGCGGUAAUAUGAAGGGGGCUAGCGUUGUUCGGAAUUACUGGGCGUAAAGCGCACGUAGGCGGAUUGUUAAGUCGGAGGUGAAAUCCCGGAGCUCAACUUCGGAACUGCCUUUGAUACUGGCAAUCUAGAGUCCGGAAGAGGUUAGUGGAAUUCCCAGUGUAGAGGUGAAAUUCGUAGAUAUUGGGAAGAACACCAGUGGCGAAGGCGGCUAACUGGUCCGGUACUGACGCUGAGGUGCGAAAGCGUGGGGAGCAAACAGGAUUAGAUACCCCCGUAGUCGCUGAGCGGGCUGGCAAGGCGCAU
rnacentral:rRNA from 1 species